UCCAGACUCCUACGGGAGGCAGCAGUGGGGAAUAUUGCACAAUGGGGGAAACCCUGAUGCAGCGACGCCGCGUGAAGGAUGAAGUAUUUCGGUAUGUAAACUUCUAUCAGCAGGGAAGAAAAUGACGGUACCUGACUAAGAAGCCCCGGCUAACUACGUGCCAGCAGCCGCGGUAAUACGUAGGGGGCAAGCGUUAUCCGGAUUUACUGGGUGUAAAGGGCGCGUAGGUGGGCGCUUAAGUCAGGUGUGAAAACUCCGGGCUCAACCUGGAGACUGCACUUGAAACUGGGUGUCUUGAGGGCAGGAGAGGAAAGUGGAAUUCCUAGUGUAGCGGUGAAAUGCGUAGAUAUUAGGAGGAACACCAGUGGCGAAGGCGACUUUCUGGACUGUACCUGACGCUGAGGCGCGAAAGCGUGGGUAGCGAACGGGAUUAGAUACCCGUGUAC
rnacentral:rRNA from 1 species